UCUUUUCCAAUUUUCUUAAUUGUCAUUUAAUUUAAUUUAAUUUCUAUUGUUUAUUAAUUUGUGUGUAAAUUUAAUUGGACAAUUAAGUGACUUAUGGUAUUCUGGUCAAUGGGAGAUGAUUAUUGUGUAUAUGAAAAUGUCCGAUUAUCAGGAAAAUAAAGUUAAUCAUUAAAUCUGGAUGAUCAUUAAACGCUCAACCCCAAAGGUUUGUUUAAUUGCCGAUGGUUUGGUUUUUGUUGUUUCUUUUGGUGUAAAUAACAAUUAACGAUUUAACUUAUCAAUCAAAGGUUCUUAUUGUAAAACUUGAAAUUCCAUAUCAAUUCUGAUAAUCAUGAUGAUUGAUUCUGUCUGGGGAGAGAAAGGUUGAUUGACAAAGAUAUUUUUCCAAUUGGGUUCACAAUCAAGAGAAGGAUAGAAAUAGAAUCGGCUGGUAAUUUACUUUUGGACGAAGAUGAGAUCUCAUAAUGUUAAUUGUCUUGAUUUGUCUUAAUUGUCUUGGGUCGAUAUACAAUGUGAAAGAUAAAUGGUAUCAAUAUAUUAACAAUCAAGAAAGGAAUCAAAGCAUAACGAUAAAGGUUAAUUGAUAAUUAACCAGUUGAUUGUUAAUGAUUUGUGAAAAAAAACCCUGAAAACAUUGGCCAUUCAUUAGGUGAAUUGAUUACAAUUAACUAAAUUGUCAAACUGCGAAAAAAAAUCAAAGGAUUUCCCGUUUACAAUUAAAAAUCUUCACAACAAGAUUGAUUUAAAUAACCGAGAAGAGUUAAUUUUGUUAACUUGUUCACAAUUUAAAUUGUUCACAAUGGUUACAAUUUAAUCUUGAAUUUUAAUCAUGAAGGAAACAAGGAUGACUGAUUGGUAACCAACAAUUAGUAAAUUGUUUACUCGAGACAAUCAACUUUAAAAUAGCAUCAAUGGAUCAACUCUUUCAUCACAAUCAAGAUUAAUCAUCCCCAUGUAAACCUUAAAUUAUUUAAUUGUAAAUGUUAUGAUUGUUAAAUUGAGUUAUGCAAUCAAAUUAACCAGAAACAAUUAAGCUUACGGGAUUUUCUUACGAUAAUUAUUAACAUUGUAAUUGUAAUUGUAUCUUAAUUGUUAUCAUUAGAUUGACCUUGUUUAUAUACUAACAAGUUGAUUGUAAACUUUAACAAUUUAAUCAUUUGUUUACUUUUACCAACCAUUGGUUUAAUUUUAAUUGUAACCAUUGAUUGGAAAUUUGUUAUUAUUGCUUUUACCUGGACUAAUUUAACUAAUUAAGGUAAUCAGAUGUAAUAAUAAGUAAAUUAAGAUUUAAUUAUUGUAAAUUAUAUUUGCAAUGUGUAUAAACCAUAUGAGAAAUUUAAUUUGCAUUUCAAUUAGUUAAUUGCAAUUACAAUUUUCCUAAUUACUGUUUGAUCAUUUUUAGCUCUCUAAAUUGUCACAGCAAUCAAAGUGUUAAUCUUAAUCAACUUUCAACACAAUUUAACAAGCUGAUGAUUAAAAAUAUACAUCAUUGAUUAACCUUGAUCAUUGUAACACUAUUAAUUAACACCGUUAAUUAAAUAACAAGAUGACCUUGUAAUUA